GAGUUUGAUCUUGGCUCAGAGCGAACGCUGGCGGCAGGCCUAAAACAUGCAAGUCGAACGAUGGCUUCGGCCAUAGUGGCGCACGGGUGAGUAACGCGUGGGAACCUGCCUUUUGGUUUGGGAUAACUCCGGGAAACUGGAGCUAAUACCGGAUGAGCCCGGGCAACCGGGGAAAGAUUUAUCGCCAAAAGAGGGGCCCGCGUCCGAUUAGGUAGUUGGUGGGGUAACGGCCUACCAAGCCGACGAUCGGUAGCUGGUCUGAGAGGAUGAUCAGCCACACUGGGACUGAGACACGGCCCAGACUCCUACGGGAGGCAGCAGUGGGGAAUAUUGGACAAUGGGCGCAAGCCUGAUCCAGCAAUGCCGCGUGGAUGAUGAAGGCCUUAGGGUUGUAAAGUCCUUUCGGCGGGGACGAUGAUGACGGUACCCGCAGAAGAAGCCCCGGCUAACUUCGUGCCAGCAGCCGCAGU
rnacentral:rRNA from 1 species